CAGCCGCCGCGGGAAUACGAAGGGUGCAAGCGUUACUCGGAAUUACUGGGCGUAAAGCGUGCGUAGGUGGUGGUUUAAGUCCGUUGUGAAAGCCCUGGGCUCAACCUGGGAAUUGCAGUGGAUACUGGAUCACUAGAGUGUGGUAGAGGAUGGUGGAAUUCCCGGUGUAGCGGUGAAAUGCGUAGAGAUCGGGAGGAACAUCAGUGGCGAAGGCGGCCAUCUGGGACAACACUGACGCUGAUGCACGAAAGCUAGGGGAGCAAACAGGAUUAGAUACCCGUGUAGUCCCUGUCUCUUAUAC
rnacentral:rRNA from 1 species